rnacentral:lncRNA from 1 species
GUGAAGUUUGUCCCCAUGAAAUCAGCAGUGCUGUCAGCAGUGUGGCUGACCUUGAAGGAAUUAGACUACGAAGACAGCGGAGUGCGCAUGCUCGAGUGUGCCCACAGACGAAAGAGAAAGAAAAUAAUGUUUUACCUGUGAUUUGAAAAUGCAACCAGAGUUACCAAGAAGCA